CCCACCCCCACUACCACCACUAGCAGCACCACCGCCGCCGAGCCCAGCACUCGCUCGGAUUUCUGUUCACGGCGGCGCCCAGUCGCCCACCCAAUCCCGGCACCCAGUCGCCGCUCCCUCCCCCAGACGCGCUCCCAAUCCCGGCGGCCAGCUCGGAUUUCUGUUCCUGGCGGCGCCGCACUACCCUGCCGUCGGCGGGCUUCCCAUCGGCGAACCUCGGGCCGUCUCCGCGAAGGGCUGCGCGGCCGGCCCCCGUCCCGCCCCGGCGAGCUGCAACCUCAGGAGAAGCUAGCCCGAUUGCGCCGCUGUACAGCCGAGAAAAACUGGUGCGUGACCACGGCGACCGCUGCGGUGACGGAGUUGUUGGCGGGCGGGGACGGCGGCGUGACCUCGGCGGACGCCGAGUCCUUAUGAUCCCGCAUGGAUGGCUAGGUGCUGGUCUCCGUGUGGUCAGCCUCUCCUCCUCGACUAGCUCUUGGCACGAUGGCGGCAGGUUCGUACCCCAUUUUUCCUGCGGAAGCCUUGAUUUUCCUUGCCAGUUCCCCUUCGGAUCACGGUCGACUGCAACGGAAUCGCAUUUACGGCGUUCUUUCUCAGUGGGGCGUGGUUCCAAUUCCUCCCGUUAUCCAUGGAUUUCCCCAACGCAAGGGAUGACGAGAAUGAUUCAGUUACCGACGCCUAUCCGCAACCAACGAGUUGCAGGAGACUAGCAGGCGCUCGACAAUGUGUUGUGAAGUCCCAGACCUGUCCGCCUCCAAGGCUCCAACACGAACGCAGUGUGCAGAGCACCUCUGUCGAGAUUUCGGGAGCAGGACGUCUUCUUGCAAACUUCUAGGCGCUGAGGUAGAUUUCUAACUGGUUCAGUGUGGUUUCCAAUUGUUGUAAGACUGUACCAGCUGUUGUUCAUUUGUUUGGGCUCUUGGAUAAGAUGGAUUCAGCAAAUCGUUAUCUUCUUGGUAUUUAUUUUUGUUGACAACUAAUUCAAGUUUGCAGUAAAGAGUGGGUCGAGAAGUGUAGAUCCCAUAGUUUGCUGGCUAAAGGAUGCUUGUUCUUCAUACAAGAACUAGAUGUUGUUUGUUGGCUGAGAGAUACCUGUUCAGAUAACUAGAGCUUUAAUUCCUUUUUGCUAAUAAACUAAUUGAUGACUUUUCUGUGUGAAUAUGACUAGAUGAGUUCUUGUUCCGUACUCAGAUAUGCAACUUAUUUUUGUUCAGAGAUGUAAAUGUUCACAUAUGCAUGCUUCUUAGUUGUUAGUGCCUGAUAUGGAUUCACCCGAAAGAUGCUGAAUUGCUGAUCUGAUUUGCUAAUCCAAUUUUGGUGCUAGGUGAAGACCUGCUUUGGUUUGAUAGCCUGAUAUGAGUUAAUAUGUUUGGAUCAAUAUAUUUUCGUAAUUAUUCUAGAUGUUCUGAAGCUUUGGCCCACUAUACAUUUCGUUUCGUGAAUAUUGAUACUAGUUUGCCUGAUCAAUGCCUUGUUCUAUGUGAAAUGCUUAUAGUAUGCCUGAUUGGUUUCGUCUUUCGUAUUUAAUCCCUGGUGUUGUGAGUUGCUUUCUCUUGCACUUCUCCUGCUGAUUUGGACUGUAUAAUUUGUUGAUAAAUUCCCAAGUCUGCAGCCAGUUCGUGCACCUGAGUAUAUCCUGUCUAUGGGGUUUGUUGCAACACAAUUCCAAUCUACUUAAUAAUAGUUUUGCUCUUAUGUAAUACGUAUAGGCUGUCUUUAACCUGCAUAUACUAAUAAUUCCGAGCUCUUAUGCAGAUUGCAAUAUGCAUGCUGGUAACCUGCACGUGAGAUGGUUGAUUGGCUAGAUAGUUUCUGAUUUCCUUUUUGUUUAUUGUUCUGCCAAAUUGUAAAAACAGGGUCAAUGAAAUAGCAAAAUGCAUUGAGUUUUUAUCGUGUGCUCGGUUUAAAUAUGGUGAAUGGAAUUGCAAAAUGUACUCAGUUUUAGAUUGAAAUUGAGAUCAAUCAAUCACAAAAUCA